GGGGUUGUGGCUCACUGGUAGAGCGCUUGCCUCUCAUGCGUGGGACACUGGGUUCGAUCCUCAGCACCA
rnacentral:tRNA from 1 species